AUUGAACGCUGGCGGCAUGCCUAACACAUGCAAGUCGAACGGUAACAGGCCCUUCGGGUGCUGACGAGUGGCGGAUGGGUGAGUAAUACUUAGGAAUCUACCCUGUAGUGGGGACGAACCCGGGAACGUACGGGCUAAUACCGCAUACGCUCUACGGAGGAAAGACGGGGACCGCAAGGCCUCGCGCUAUUGGAUGAGCCUAAGCCCGAUUAGCUAGUUGGUGGGGUAAUAGCCUACCAAGGCAAUGAUCGGUAGCUGGUCUGAGAGACGACCAGCCACACUGGGACUGAGACACGGCCCAGACUCCUACGGGAGGCAGCAGUGGGGAAUA
rnacentral:rRNA from 1 species